rnacentral:rRNA from 1 species
AACGAACGCUGGCGGCAUGCCUAACACAUGCAAGUCGAACGACACCUCCGUGUCUAGUGGCGCACAGGUGCGUAACGCGUGGGAACCUGCCCUUAGGCAUCGAAUAACACUCUGAAAGGGGUGCUAAUACCGGAUAACGUCCUCGGAUCAAAGAUUUAUCGCCUUUGGAUGGGCCCGCGUUGGAUUAGCUUGUUGGUAGGGUAAAAGCCUACCAAGGCGACGAUCCAUAGCUGGUCUGAGAGGAUGAUCAGCCACACUGGGACUGAGACACGGCCCAGACUCCUAGGGGAGGCAGCAGUGGGGAAUAUUGGACAAUGGGCGAGAGCCUGAUCCAGCAAUGCCGCGUGAGUGAUGAAGUCCUUAGGGUUGUAAAGCUCUUUUACCCGGGAUGAUAAUGACGGUACCGGGAGAAUAAGCUCCGGCUAACUCCGUG